rnacentral:rRNA from 1 species
CUACGGGACGCACCAGUGGGGAAUAUUGGACAAUGGGGGAAACCCUGAUCCAGCAAUGCCGCGUGUGUGAAGAAGGCCUGCGGGUUGUAAAGCACUUUCGGUUGGGAGGACUGCUUCUAGCACUAAUAUUGUUGGAAGUUGACGUUACCUUCAGAAGAAGCACCGGGUAACUCCGUGCCAGCAGCCGCGGUAAUACGGAGGGUGCAAGCGUUAAUCGGAAUUACUGGGCGUAAAGCGCGCGUAGGCGGCUAGAUCAGUCGGGUGCGAAAGCCCCGGGCUUAACCUGGGAACUGCAUCCGAUACUGUCUAGCUUGAGUACAGGAGAGGAGAGUGGAAUUCCACAUGUAGCGGUGAAAUGCGUAGAUAUGUGGAGGAACACCAAUGGCGAAGGCAGCUCUCUGGCCUGAUACUGACGCUGAGGUGCGAAAGCGUGGGGAGCAAGCAGGAUUAGAUACCCCGGUAGUC